rnacentral:rRNA from 1 species
CCUGGCUCAGAUUGAACGCUGGCGGAAUGCUUUACACAUGCAAGUCGAACGAUGAACCUUAGCUUGCUAAGGGGAUUAGUGGCGAACGGGUGAGUAAUAUAUCGGAACGUGCCUUGUAAUGGGGGAUAACUAGUCGAAAGAUUAGCUAAUACCGCAUACGCCCUGAGGGGGAAAGUAGGGGAUCUUCGGACCUUACGUUAUAAGAGCGGCCGAUAUCUGAUUAGCUAGUUGGUGGGGUAAUGGCCUACCAAGGCUUCGAUCAGUAGCUGGUCUGAGAGGACGACCAGCCACACUGGAACUGAGACACGGUCCAGACUCCUACGGGAGGCAGCAGUGGGGAAUUUUGGACAAUGGGCGCAAGCCUGAUCCAGCCAUUCCGCGUGAGUGAAGAAGGCCUUCGGGUUGUAAAGCUCUUUCGCAAGGGAAGAAAACUUACAUUCUAAUAAAGUGUGAGGCUGACGGUACCUUGAUAAGAAGCACCGGCUAACUACGUGCCAGCAGCCGCGGUAAUACGUAGGGUGCGAGCGUUAAUCGGAAUUACUGGGCGUAAAGCGUGCGCAGGCGGUUUUGUAAGUCAGAUGUGAAAUCCCCGAGCUCAACUUGGGAACUGCGUUUGAAACUACAAGACUAGAAUAUGUCAGAGGGGGGUAGAAUUCCACGUGUAGCGGUGAAAUGCGUAGA